rnacentral:rRNA from 1 species
GAUGAACGCUGGCGGCGUGCCUAAUACAUGCAAGUCGAGCGAACGGACGAGAAGCUUGCUUUUCUGAUGUUAGCGGCGGACGGGUGAGUAACACGUGGAUAACCUACCUAUAAGACUGGGAUAACUUCGGGAAACCGGAGCUAAUACCGGAUAAUAUUUUGAAUCGCAUGGUUCAAAAGUGAAAGACGGUCUUGCUGUCACUUAUAGAUGGAUCCGCGCUGCAUUAGCUAGUUGGUAAGGUAACGGCUUACCAAGGCAACGAUGCAUAGCCGACCUGAGAGGGUGAUCGGCCACACUGGAACUGAGACACGGUCCAGACUCCUACGGGAGGCAGCAGUAGGGAAUCUUCCGCAAUGGGCGAAAGCCUGACGGAGCAACGCCGCGUGAGUGAUGAAGGUCUUCGGAUCGUAAAACUCUGUUAUUAGGGAAGAACAUAUGUGUAAGUAACUGUGCACAUCUUGACGGUACCUAAUCAGAAAGCCACGGCUAGCUACGUG